UUUUCAACAUUACUGGCACGUAAUUAAGGCCUGCAUUUUGAGCCUGGUAACAUUAACGCAGACAUGUAUGUGUUGGCUGGAAAAGUGACUCUUGAAGGGCAAAAUGAUCCAGUUCUCUCAUCCCCUAGGCUUUGGGCCAGUAAUGAAGAAAAAAUGAACAACCUGCAAGAAGGAAGGUUUUCUUUCCUAGCUGUGUGCAGGCAGACCCUAAAAACAGAAGCAGAACUGUGGACCUGAUACGUGCAGCAGGUGAGGUCGUCAGGAGACAGAAUGACUCUUACUGAGCCCGUCUUGAAGACAGUCACUGCUGUAGAAGAGCACUGAAGCACAGUAGUUUGCGUAGCGCUGGAUUUCCAACUUUGCCUUCGUAUGGCAUAGAAAAAUCCAGAGAAAUGCAAGAGAGCAGCUGAAGAGUGCAGGCCUGCAAGGAAGUCAAACUGAGUGAGCAUAGGCGAUCACAUCCCACUUCUUAAGGCCUCGGUUUUGCAGUCCCACUGAAAUGCUAUUUGUACCUGGGCUCGUGCAAGGAGAUGGGCUGUGUUUGUGACUGGUUUCCUGUGCUGAGUGAUGCUGUCACUGACUCGUGCAAGCAGCGCCCUGACAGCCAUGCUGCCUUCCUCCAGCAGCUGCGAGCAAGGAUUGCUUCUGUGCGGUGGGUAGGCUGAGAGUUCCCUUCUGUUGGUCCUGGUCUGGCAAAAUGUUUAGGGGAUGAGGCAGCUCUGCCCCUCAAGGUGUGAAGGCAGAGCUGCUCCAGCAGCAGGAGCACCUGGCUGGGCGGAGGGCCUCUCGCAGGGCUUAGGGCUGCAGAGAAGCCGCGUUUGUCCGGGGAACACCAGGCAGGGGACCAGGAGAGCGAGAAGGAGAGAAAGCAGAUGAGCCGCUAACAACUAAACGAGGUGGCAGCUGUCUCCUAUUGGCACCUGCGGCUUGUUGCGCUCACCGGCUGAAACGCCCUGCCCAGGAACAUCGCUUUGGGAAGGCUUUGCACUGCAAAGGGGGGGAAGGCUGUCGUAGGAACGCCGGCAGACCUCGAGGCGCUGAGCGGCCUCCCCUGCUGAGUCCCAGCGGGGAAACCGCCGCUGCGCAGCCCGCACGUUAACCCGAGCUGCGGCCCGUGCUCCACAGGCACGGGAGCGCUCAGAAGUUAAUUAAAUUCCCACCCACCACCUGGC
rnacentral:lncRNA from 1 species